rnacentral:rRNA from 1 species
UCUGUGUUGUAGCUAACGCGUUAAGCACUCCGCCUGGGGACUACGGUCGCAAGACUAAAACUCAAAGGAAUUGACGGGGACCCGCACAAGCGGUGGAGCAUGUGGUUUAAUUCGAUGCAACGCGAAAAACCUUACCACUUCUUGACAUGGAGGCUAGAUCCUUCUUAACAGAAGGGCGCAGUUCGGCUGGGCCUCGCACAGGUGCUGCAUGGCUGUCGUCAGCUCGUGUCGUGAGAUGUUGGGUUAAGUCCCGCAACGAGCGCAACCCUCAUCCUUAGUUACCAGCGGGUAAUGCCGGGCACUUUAAGGAAACUGCCAGUGAUAAACUGGAGGAAGGUGGGGAUGAUGUCAAGUCAGCACGGCCCUUAUGGGGUGGGCUACACACGUGCUACAAUGGCGACUACAAUAGGUCGCAACGUCGCAAGGCUGAGCUAAUCCGUAAAAAUCGUCUCAGUUCGGAUUGUCCUCUGUAACUCGAGGGCAUGAAGUCGGAAUCGCUAGUAAUCGUGGAU